rnacentral:hammerhead_ribozyme from 1 species
AUCCAGCUGACGAUUCCCAAAUGGGACGAAACGCGCGUCCUGGAU